CGAGGAUUCCCCUAGUAACGGCGAGUGAACGGGGAAAAGCCCAGCGCUGAAUCCUUUAGUCUUUGACUAUAAGGAAAUGUAGCGUAUAGGUGCGAGUGUUCGUGCGUUUUGCUCACCCAAAGUCCCCUUGAGUGGGGCUACAGUCCGUAGAAGGUGCUAGACCUGUACGGGUGGCGAGGUGUGCGAUAGCUUGCUCCUUGGAGUCGGGUUGCCUGAGAUCGCAGCCCAAAGAGGGUGGUAAACCUCAUCUAAGGCUAAAUAUGACCACGAGACCGAUAGCAAACAAGUACCGUGAGGGAAAGUUGCAAAGAACUUUGAAGAGAGAGUUCAAGAGGGCGUGAAACCGCUGAGAUGGAAACGGAUAGAGUUAACGAAACUCGGCGGCAUUCAACUGGUCAGCCUAGCGGCCUUGCGGAUUUGUGCCUCGAUGAGGACAGAGACGUGAGUGUCUGUUGGGCAUCGGCUGGUGUAUUUGCCGUCGGUAUGCGCUGAGAGCCUCGGCUUCGUGCGUUGACGCUCAUGUAGUGGACCACUCCUUCCGGGCGUGGAACCCUGCGUGGGUUGAGACACAUCGGUGCUGGGGUAUGCUUCUCGUCUCCGCUUCGCGCAACGGUCGCUACGUGUUUGGCGCUGCUGUUGGACGGUCGCAUGCGACUUGUCUACAGUUGGUGCUGAUCCGCGGUGAUGCAGUUGCGUUGAGACGCUUAUCUCGGUGUGAAAGUUGACCACCUAUCCGA
rnacentral:rRNA from 1 species